rnacentral:lncRNA from 1 species
GCAUCCGGUAGCCUGAAGGGCCAGUCUCACUUCCACCAUGUCCCCGCAACAGCACGGAGUGUAUUUUCAGGCAGCCGGUGAGUAGGGCUACAAGCCUCCAGCUGAGAAAGCAAAGCCAACUCACAGUUCCUUGGCUGUCCCGCGGAGCCUGCGGUGGCAAACCACCUCCUUCAGAAGGGUCUGUGGAUUCUCCUGGCUUUUCUGGUAUGUUCCUGUGGUAGUUCUUGGAGCAGAAGUUCAUGAUGCCAGUCUUCAUAGGCGGCUCUGUCUGUCUGAGUGGGAGCUGCAGUCCUUGCCGGAGUCCCACUGCUCCCGAACACAUGCCCUGAGGCAGCGUGCCUGCACAACCAGCUUCCAUCUGAACGCUUCAGACAUGCGCUGCAUUCAGGGCAGGGACUUUUCUUGGACAGAGAAGCUGAGAAGUAUCAGAUAAAGAUGACCUGCAUGUACUGGAAAAUAAUCUGUGGUUUAUAUGUAGGCGGAUGGAAGCAAACCAGGGAACAAAAGAAGAAUUUGUAGUUCACAGCCACAUGAGAUAGUCAAGUGUUAAAAGGGAAAAAGAGCUAUCGAAGGCAGGAAGCAAAAUGCCUUCAGAGAUAAAAGGUUAUUCGUGGCUGAGUGAAAAAAAUGGACAAUGAGCAGAAAAUAAUUUAUACUACAAAGUCUUUAGACGUCAUUUACUUGGUAAGACAUUAUAGAAAUAUUUUUGGCCGUUUUGUUUGCUUUAAAAUCCACUUAACUACAAAGUGACUUCACAGUUUAAAAAUGACAUAACAUAAUCUAUAUGGUACUACACUGAUAAUAUCAUCUAAUCUUUCAUUAUGCUGUGACCAAGUCUUCUGUUAAAAGUCUAAU